rnacentral:rRNA from 1 species
GACGAACGCUGGCGGCGUGCUUAACACAUGCAAGUCGAACGGAAAGGCCCUGCUUUUGUGGGGUGCUCGAGUGGCGAACGGGUGAGUAACACGUGAGUAACCUGCCCUUGACUUUGGGAUAACUUCAGGAAACUGGGGCUAAUACCGGAUAGGAGCUCCUGCUGCAUGGUGGGGGGUGGAUAGUUUCGGCGGUUGGGGAUGGACUCGCGGCUUAUCAGCUUGUUGGUGGGGUAGUGGCUUUCCAAGGCUUUGACGGGUAGCCGGCCUGAGAGGGUGACCGGCCACCAUGGGACUGCGGGACGGCCCAGACGCCUACGGGAGGCAGCAGUGGGGAAUAUUGCACAAUGGGCGGAAGCCUGAUGCAGCAACGCCGCGUGCGGGAUGACGGCCUUCGGGUGGUAAACCGCUUUCGCCUGUGACGAAGCGUGAGUGACGGUAAUGGGUAAAGAAGCACCGGCUAACUACGUG